GUAAGUAAUCGCUCUGAGCAUGCGCACACCUGGUGGAUGGGGAGAACAGGUGUGAAGGGGAAACGCGCCCUGGCUGCCAACUUACGCUUUUCCUCGGUGACAUGGAACUUUGCAUUUGGGAUGAGCUGACAAGCUCCAAGACCAGGCAAACCAUUAAAUAUCACAGUAAUCCAAGUCUAUGCCCCAAUUAGAAAUGCUGAAGAAGCUGAAGUUGAAUGGUUCUAUGAAGAAUUACAAGACCUCCUAGAACUGACACCCAAAAAAGAUGUCCUCUUCAUUAUAGGGGACUGGAAUAUAAAAGUAGGAAGUAAAGAGCUACCUGAAAUAAUAGGCAAAUUUGGCCUUGGAGUACAGAAUGAAGCGGGGCAAAGGCUAACAGAGUUUUGCCAAGAGAAUGCACUGGUCAUAGCAAAUACCCUCUUCCAACAACACAAGAGAAAACUACACAUGGACAUCACCAGAUGGUCAAUACUGAAAUCAGAUUGAUUAUAUUCUUUGCAGCCAAAGAUGGACAAGCUCUAUACAGUCAGCAAAAACAAAAACAGGAGCUGCCUGUGGCUCAGAUCAUGAACUCCUUACUGCCAAAUUGAGACUUAAAUUGAAGAAAGUAGGGAAAACCACCAGAACAUUCAGGUAUGACCUAAAUCAAAUCCCUUAUGAUUGUACAGUGGAAGUGAUAAAUAGAUUCAAGGGAUUAGAUCUGAUAGAGUGCCUGAAGAACUGUGGACGGAAGUUCAUGACAUUGUACGGGAGGUAGGGAUCAAGACCAUCCCCAAGAAAAAGAAAUGCAAAAAGGCAAAAUGGUUGAGGAGGCCUCACAAAUAGCUGUAAAAAGAAAAGAAGUGAAAGGCAGAGGAGAAAAGGAAAGAGAUACCCAUUUGAAUGCAGAGUUUCAAAGAAUAGCAAGGAGAGAUAAGAAAGCCUUCCUCAGCGAUCAAUGCAAAGAAUUAGAAGAAAACAAUAGAAUGGGAAAGACUAGAGAUCUCUUCAAGAAAAUUAGAGAUACCACAGGAAUAUUACAUGCAAAGAUGAGC
ensembl:lncRNA